rnacentral:hammerhead_ribozyme from 1 species
AUACUGACGAGUCCCAAAUAGGACGAAACGCGCGUCCCGGAU